CACAGGGUUCUAGAAUACUCCCAAUUCCUGUUGAGGCACUACCUACCGAGGCGUUUCUCCUGUGGCAGAGUUCAGACAGGCUGGCUGAUCUGGAGUGACACGUGCUGUAUCCUGCCGGGAAAGCACAGCAGAGCUAGGCGAGCCCAUCUCCAUCGAUCAACUACAUGAAGAAUUAGUUACCAGCUACCUGACAGUUUCGACUGCUGACUUGCAUAGCUUGAUGUUCUGGAAUGUCCGCACGCACCAAUUUCAUCAGGGACUGAGGCACUCUUUGAUGAAGCAUCUGCAAAACAUGCCAGUCAGAUUGGACAAAGAGAAUAAACAGGACUUAUAAGUGGUACAGCUGGACAAAGAAGUUCCUACAGAGAACCACCUGAGCUCACCUGGUACAGGCUCUAUUCCCAGAUGCCCUAAGAAACAACGGGGAAAAAACAUUAUGUUGGAUCUCCAUGCCUCAGGUCCAACCAGUAAUUAUGCUGAAGAUAUUACCUCAAGAUUACAGUAGACGACACUGAAAAACAGAAGCAAGACCAGAGAGUGGGAAAUGAGGGUAUGGAGUUGCGAACAAUAGGGAUGAACCAGGAGGAGAAGUUGGAAGAGCUUGAUUUCUACAACCUAAAGAAGAGAUGGAAAACAAUUUAAUUCCUGCCUUCAGCCAUUUCUAUUAAAUUAUAAAGAAGACAGAGCCAGACCUUUCUCAACAGGGAGCAGGGAAAGUACAAGAGACAAUAACAGGGGUGAAGCACAGGGGCAGAUUCCUUACAAAAACCUGGAACUCCAUUCUUUAACAGAUGCUUGUCACAUACCUAUUUCCAGGAACUUUCUCCUGCAGAGUUAGCUGUUGCUGUAUCUCUUACCAGUACUUACAGUAAGAAGUCUCACAAUAAUGAGCCAUUUCCACCUGUAUUUUAACACAUUACUUCUCAUGCAAAAUGCCAUCUAGACAACCAUUUUCUUACCUACUAUGAGGCCUGAAGAUCAUUUUUUCCUACUAUUGACUUGUCUCACAGCUUUUGAAAAUCUAUUUUAUUGCAGUUUCCCCAUCAGCAAAUCAAGUUGCAGUUGAAACACUAUUAAAACUAGCACAACCCAUUACUGAGUCUGAAGACAGGGCACAGAAUUCUUAUGUUUUGCAGUAAGAUGAGAGGGAGGGACAGCAGCCCCAUGUGACAGGUAUGUCAUUUUAACAAGUAUGUUUGUUUUGGAAACUGUUUAAUCUGUGUUACUAUCAGGAGAAAUACUCCCUUUCAAAAGCAAUAGCAGCAGGAAGAGAAACAAUUAUUAGAAAGCAAUUUGAAGAGCCUACUGGGGCAGAAAAUGUGCUUGCCACAGCCACACAACACAAACGUAGUUACAGUCAGCUGGCAGAGAGGCAGCCAAGCAUCAGUUGAAACAAGUAAUACCUACUGUCCAGAAGAUACCCAAUUGUACAGAAGAAAAUGACUUUUCUACCUAGUACCUCAGAAAUAAUAUAAUUACACACAACACAGGAGCUCUGCAGCUACCUCACAACUCAGAAUCUUGUCAUACACAAACUUCCCUGCAAUCUUCAGGAAAAGAAAACUUCUGGAUAAAAAAAAUUAAUUUUCAACACAUCCCCAUCUCUAUCAGUAUUUUUGUCACACACAGAUAUUCACUGAAACCUGUACCCUAGAAUACUAGGGUUUCCUGUUCAAAAUAUUCAUAGGUGUAAUUUCUGCCCUGGGACAAUCCACUGUUCUUCCAUGGUGCACAGUGUGUACAUGCUAUUUUGUGAACAGCAUAUAUGUAUGUGGUAUUUGGGCAUCUGCAGAAGUAUCCAGCUUCAGAGAAAGAGAUCUAUUACCACUGGCCAAGAAAAAAAUAAAAAACAGAUACCUUUCUGCAUAUGAA